UACGUAGGGGGCUAGCGUUAUCCGGAUUUACUGGGCGUAAAGGGUGCGUAGGUGGUUUCUUAAGUCAGGAGUGAAAGGCUACGGCUUAACCGUAGUAAGCUCUUGAAACUGGGAAACUUGAGUGCAGGAGAGGAGAAUGGAAUUCCUAGUGUAGCGGUGAAAUGCGUAGAGAUUAGGAAGAACACCAGUGGCGAAGGCGAUUCUCUGGACUGUAACUGACGCUGAGGCUCGAAAGCGUGGGGAGCAAACAGGAUUAGAUACCCUGGUAGUCCCUGAG
rnacentral:rRNA from 1 species